rnacentral:rRNA from 1 species
UACGAAGGGUGCAAGCGUUAAUCGGAAUUACUGGGCGUAAAGAGUGCGUAGGCGGUUCGUUAAGUCUGUCGUGAAAUCCCCGGGCUCAACCUGGGAAUGGCGAUGGAUACUGGCGAGCUAGAGUGUGUCAGAGGAUGGUGGAAUUCCCGGUGUAGCGGUGAAAUGCGUAGAGAUCGGGAGGAACAUCAGUGGCGAAGGCGGCCAUCUGGGACAACACUGACGCUGAAGCACGAAAGCGUGGGGAGCAAACAGG